CGUGAGGAACCUGCCUUGGAGAGGGGGAAAUAAACACUCCAAAGGAGUGCUAAUACCGCAUGAUGCAGUUGGGUCGCAUGGCUCUGACUGCCAAAGAUUUAUCGCUCUGAGAUGGCCUCGCGUCUGAUUAGCUAGUAGGCGGGGUAACGGCCCACCUAGGCGACGAUCAGUAGCCGGACUGAGAGGUUGACCGGCCACAUUGGGACUGAGACACGGCCCAG
rnacentral:rRNA from 1 species